GACGUAGGGCGCGAGCGUUGUCCGGAUUUAUUGGGCGUAAAGAGCUCGUAGGCGGCUCGUUGCGUCGGCUGUGAAAACCCGCAGCUCAACUGUGGGCUUGCAGCCGAUACGGGCGGGCUGGGAUUUGGUAGGGGAGACUGGAAUUCCUGGUGUAGCGGUGAAAUGCGCAGAUAUCAGGAGGAACACCGGUGGCGAAGGCGGGUCUCUGGGCCGAUAUCGACGCUGAGGAGCGAAAGCGUGGGGAGCGAACAGG
rnacentral:rRNA from 1 species